rnacentral:rRNA from 1 species
GUUGACCUUGCCAGUAGUCAUAUGCUUGUCUCAAAGAUUAAGCCAUGCAUGUCUCAGUACAAGCCAUAUUAAGGUGAAACCGCGAAAGGCUCAUUAUAUCAGUUAUGGUUCCUUAGAUCGUACCCACAAUUACUUGGAUAACUGUGGUAAUUCUAGAGCUAAUACAUGCAAACAGAGUUCCGACCAGAGAUGGAAGGAAUGCUUUUAUUAGAUCAAAACCAAUCGGUAUGAUUGUUUGUGCGUUUCGCACGUGCAUCAAUUGCACCGUUUAAUUUGGUGACUCUGAAUAACUUUGGGCUGAUCGCACGGUCUCGUACCGGCGACGCAUCUUUCAAAUGUCUGCCUUAUCAACUGUCGAUGGUAGGUUCUGCGCCUACCAUGGUUGUAACGGGUAACGGGGAAUCAGGGUUCGAUUCCGGAGAGGGAGCCUGAGAAACGGGUACCACAUCCAAGGAAGGCAGCAGGCGCGCAAAUUACCCACUCCCGGCACGGGGAGGUAGUGACGAAAAAUAACGAUACGAGACUCAUCCGAGGCCUCGUAAUCGGAAUGAGUACACUUUAAAUCCUUUAACAAAAAUCCAUUGGAGGGCAAGUCUGGUGCCAGCAGCCGCGGUAAUUCCAGCUCCAAUAGCGUAUAUUAAAGUUGUUGCGGUUAAAAAGCUCGUAGUCGAAUCUGUGUCCCGCGCUGUCGGUUCACCGCUCGCGGUGUUCAACUGGCAUGUUUUGCGGGACGUCCUACCGGUGGGUGGUUUUUUGUUUAGCUGACCUCGUGUCGGCGGCAGCCCCCAAUUGCAAUCCCGUCGCGGUGCACUUAAUUGUGUGUCGAGGUGGGCCGGUACGUUUACUUUGAACAAAUUAGAGUGCUUAAGGCAGGCUCAAAUUUCGCCUGAAUAUUGUGUGCAUGGAAUAAUGGAAUAGGACCUCGGUUCUAUUUUGUUGGUUUUCGGAACUCCGAGGUAAUGAUUAAUACGGACAGAUGGGGGCAUUCGUAUUGCGACGUUAGAGGUGAAAUUCUUGGAUCGUCGCAAGACGGACAGAAGCGAAAGCAUUUGCCAAAAAUGUUUUGAUUGAUCAAGAACGAAAGUUAGAGGUUCGAAGGCGAUCAGAUACCGCCCUAGUUCUAACCAUAAACGAUGCCAGCUAGCGAUCCGCCGAAGUUCCUCCGAUGACUCGGCGGGCAGCUUCCGGGAAACCAAAGCUUUUGGGUUCCGGGGGAAGUAUGGUUGCAAAGCUGAAACUUAAAGGAAUUGACGGAAGGGCACCACCAGGAGUGGAGCCUGCGGCUUAAUUUGACUCAACACGGGAAACCUCACCAGGCCCGGACACCGGAAGGAUUGACAGAUUGAGAGCUCUUUCUUGAUUCGGUGGGUGGUGGUGCAUGGCCGUUCUUAGUUGGUGGAGCGAUUUGUCUGGUUAAUUCCGAUAACGAACGAGACUCUAGCCUGCUAAAUAGAGGUACCUUACCGGCAUCUCAAGGCCCACCGGCUGUAUGCUUCCGUUGCGUGUUCGUAGUGUUUUCACCCGUGCAUCUGCAUUCGUAUGGAUGCGGGCGCCGUGUAGGUGUGUAUUUGCGUGUGUGUGUGCGCGACGUUUCGGCGUUCGUGUUCCGCACGCGCGGUUCCCCUAUACGUGUGUGUGUGUUCAUUGCGGUGUGUGUGUGUGGUGGAUGCUGCGCUAUACGUACGGGGUGCAGUUUUUGGUGUGGUUUUUACUGCCGGCGUAUAAAUAAUUCUUCUUAGAGGGACAGGCGGCUUUUAGCCGCACGAGAUUGAGCAAUAACAGGUCUGUGAUGCCCUUAGAUUUUUUGGGCCGCACGCGCGGUACACUGAAGGAAUCAGCGUGUUUUCCCUGAUCGAAAGACCCGGGUAACCCGCUGAACCUCCUUCGUGCUAGGGAUUGGGGCUUGCAAAUGUUCCCCAUGAACGAGGAAUUCCCCGUAAGCGCGAGUCAUAAGCUCGCGUUGAUUACGUCCCUGCCCUUUGUACACACCGCCCGUCGGUACUACCGAUUGAAUGAUUUAGUGGGGCCUUCGGACCGGUAAGCGGCAACGUUUCUGACAUUACCGAUGUUG